AAAAUUAUGGCCUCCUUGUUGUUUUGAACACAGCUAAUAGCCAAUGUAUAUAAUACAUACAACCACUCCCUAAACCCCCUGUGCCUCCCAAAUUCUUUUAUUUCCCUCCCUCUAGAAUACAAAAAUACUUUAUAACACCGAUGUCCAGAAGGCACCUUUUCCCCUCAUCGAUCUCUACAAGUUACAGGAGAUUUCGACUUGUCACAAGGGUUAACCCGACCUAAUCUACUGGAGUCGGUAUUACUACUACUAUGACUACUAACUACUUUUCUACAAUGUUUAGUUGGGUUGGGACAGAGAGGUGGUGUCCUUCCGCUGGUUUCUGGAACGCCAGUAUAACUGUUACGAUCACGUAACCCUGUCCAAAAACCCUGACCAUCCCCAGCUGUUUCUGGGUUGACGCUGCAACUGGUCUCUUCACGAGCAGAAGCAUAACGGUCCAAAUCAGCAAGGGGUGAAUGCCUCGAGUACAGAGGGGAAGGAGAAGAUGAGGAUGAGGAUGUGUCAGAAUCAGAUGAACUCCUCCAGAGGCUAUUCCAACAGACCCCAGAGUCGCCAAAUAUAUCAAUAUUUAAGUCAUCUGUGCUCGUUGAAUCCCUGUUAGUGCUGUCUGUACUGCAAGAACCAAGCUCAGAGAAGAAAGAUGAUUGUUCACUCGAAGAGUCCUCCUCAAAUAUAGACCUAAUAGGCCUCACACUUGUAUGACUAGGAUAAGAACAUCCCUUGCAAGUUUUACUAGUUGAGUCGCCAUGUGAAGAGUCCCAUGGACUUCUUGUAUGGGAUCUUGAUUUCAGACUCCUCAUUAUCCUCGGGGCCCGUGGCGAGCACCUUGAAUAAAGAAGCAUGUACGCUCCCUUCGACAAGACUCUUUCUAGUUCCACAGAUUUAACCGAACUAUCAUCAACUUUAUACCACUUGUUCUGAAAGUUCCUCACGUAACACACAUAGUGACCAGAAAAUGCAGCAUUCAUUACGUCCAGGUGAACCACAACUCCAUACAGCUGAUAAACUGGUGACUUAUCACUUGUCCCACUCAUAUAUGGUGCCAGGUUCAAAAACUCAGGGAAUUUGAUUGUCUUGUUUAGCUUCCCAAAUUUACCUGACUGAAAUCUCUUCAAUGCAACAGUGAGGACAUUAGGAGCCUCCACCACUUUUAACUUUUUCUUAGCCCUCUCAUACGAUUUACAUCUGACACAUCGGUACUUGUUUUCACCAUCUAGAGUCUCAGUAUGAGUAAAUUGUUUCAAAGCUUCUUCCAAGGUGCCUAUAUCUCCGUCUAUUUCAACAGUAAGAUCCAUU
rnacentral:misc_RNA from 1 species